AACGCGUGGGAACGUGCCCUUUGCUACGGAAUAGUCCCGGGAAACUGGGUUUAAUACCGUAUACGCCCUUCGGGGGAAAGAUUUAUCGGCAAAGGAUCGGCCCGCGUUGGAUUAGGUAGUUGGUGGGGUAAUGGCCUACCAAGCCGACGAUCCAUAGCUGGUUUGAGAGGAUGAUCAGCCACACUGGGACUGAGACACGGCCCAGACUCCUACGGGAGGCAGCAGUGGGGAAUCUUAGACAAUGGGGGCAACCCUGAUCUAGCCAUGCCGCGUGAGUGAUGAAGGCCUUAGGGUUGUAAAGCUCUUUCAGCUGGGAAGAUAAUGACGGUACCAGCAGAAGAAGCCCCGGCUAACUCCGUGCCAGCAGCCGCGGUAAUACGGAGGGGGCUAGCGUUGUUCGGAAUUACUGGGCGUAAAGCGCACGUAGGCGGAUCGGAAAGUUGGGGGUGAAAUCCCGGGGCUCAACCUCGGAACUGCCUCCAAAACUAUCGGUCUUGAGUUCGAGAGAGGUGAGUGGAAUUCCGAGUGUAGAGGUGAAAUUCGUAGAUAUUCGGAGGAACACCAGUG
rnacentral:rRNA from 1 species